GAUGAACGCUGGCGGCGUGCCUAAUACAUGCAAGUCGAGCGAACAGACGAGGAUCUUGCUCCUCUGACGUUAGCGGCGGACGGGUGAGUAACACGUGGAUAACCUACCUAUAAGACUGGGCUACCUAAGGAAACCCGAAUCCAACACCGGAUAUUAUUUUGAACGCGAUGGUCCAAAAGUCAACGCGGUUUUUGAUCUCCCUAUUUCUUGAUCCCGCGCCGCAUUAGCUAGUUGGUAAGGUAACGGCUUACCAAGGCAACGAUGCGUAGCCGACCUGAGAGGGUGAUCGGCCACACUGGAACUGAGACACGGUCCAGACUCCUACGGGAGGCAGCAGUAGGGAAUCUUCCGCAAUGGGCGAAAGCCUGACGGAGCAACGCCGCGUGAGUGAUGAAGGUCUUCGGAUCGUAAAACUCUGUUAUUAGGGAAGAACAAAUGUGUAAGUAACUAUGCACGUCUUGACGGUACCUAAUCAGAAAGCCACGGCUAACUACGUG
rnacentral:rRNA from 1 species